AUUGAACGCUGGCGGCAGGCCUAACACAUGCAAGUCGAGCGGAGCGGCGGACGGGUGAGUAAUGCCUAGGAAUCUGCCUGGGAGUGGGGGAUACCGUCCGGAAACGGGCGCUUAUACUGAAUCCUAUUAGAUUCGGCUAGGCCGGAUUAGCAUGUUGGUUGGGUAAAGGCCUACAAAGGCGACGAUCCGUAACUGGUCUGAGAGGAGGAUCAGCCACACUGGAACUGAGACACGGUCCAGACUCCUACGGGAGGCAGCAGUGGGGAAUAUUGGACAAUGGGCGAAAGCCUGAUGCAGCCAUGCCGCGUGUGUGAAGAAGGUCUUCGGAUUGUAAAGCACUUUAAGUUGGGAGGCGUUACCAACAGAAUAAGCACCGGCUAACUUCGUGCCAGCAGCCGCGGUAAUAC
rnacentral:rRNA from 1 species